rnacentral:rRNA from 1 species
GUUUGAUCCUGGCUCAGGACGAACGCUGGCGGCGUGCUUAACACAUGCAAGUCGAACGGUAAGGCCCCUUCGGGGUACACGAGUGGCGAACGGGUGAGUAACACGUGAGUAACCUGCCCCUAACACUGGGAUAACUCCUGGAAACAGGUGCUAAUACCGGAUACCAACUACAUAGGCAUCUAUGCAGUUUGAAAGCUCCGGCGGUUAGGGAUGGACUCGCGGCCUAUCAGCUUGUUGGUGAGGUAACGGCUCACCAAGGCUCCGACGGGUAGCCGGCCUGAGAGGGCGACCGGCCACAUUGGGACUGAGAUACGGCCCAAACUCCUACGGGAGGCAGCAGUGGGAAUAUUGCACAAUGGACGAAAGUCUGAUGCAGCAACGCCGCGUGCGGGAUGACGGCCU